CGCUGUUGUUCAGUGCCGUAAAGAUAGUCUGUAAGCGCAGAGCUCCAGACACUGAAUUCUCACUUGUCUAGGGGAUGGGGAUUCAGCCUGACUGUGACACAAUACAGUCCUGUAAAUAACAUCUACUCAGUGUGGUGGCUCCUGUACUCCCCACCCCAGCAAAAACCAUGACCGGGAUGAAGGAGUGAAGACCAAGGAUGCUACUCCUCUGCAAUGAACAAUUUUGUUAUGUGAAGGAGAGCUCCAAAGGAGGAAGCUGAGCUGGAGGAUUUACCUGACAAAGGCAGUGGGACUUCAGCGUAAGGACCUAGUGCAGCCCAAGUGAAGGUGAGAGGAGGAAUGGCGGUGUUGCCAUGGAUAUGGGAUUUUUUUUCUCAUGCCCUGCCUUUGCUCUAAGGCCAAACAUUCUUUACACGG
rnacentral:lncRNA from 1 species